CUGGAAUAGAACCUUUCCUAGGAGAUGUCUUAAUCUCCCUUAAGAAGCUCUGUGUUUUUUGGAAGAUCACAAAUCUUGGGCACGAGCUGAAAGAUCGUUUAUUCCAAACCUUGGCAUCCCAGCUGAUCCUUAAGUAAACGCUCUUAGAAUAGUCCUGGCUUUAUGAUAAGGACUCUUGACAUUUGGUUUUAGGUUUGUCUCGAUGGGAAAAAACAAUGAGAACACCACCGACAGUAAUGAUGACUAUUUAUUGAGCUGUAUGUGUAUUAUCUCAUUUAAUUCACAAAACAUCCCCAUAAGGCAACAAGUGGCAAAACCAAUAUCCCAGAAUGUCUACCAGGGUCAGAAUGCCUUCUGCUCCUGAUUGUCUCAGGCAAAAAUAUGAGCUGAUGAAG
ensembl:lncRNA